rnacentral:rRNA from 1 species
UACGUAGGGUGCAAGCGUUAAUCGGAAUUACUGGGCGUAAAGCGUGCGCAGGCGGUUUUGUAAGCCAGACGUGAAAUCCCCGGGCUUAACCUGGGAACUGCGUUUGGAACUGCAAGGCUAGAGUGCGGCAGAGGAAGGUGGAAUUCCUGGUGUAGCAGUGAAAUGCGUAGAUAUCAGGAGGAACACCGAUGGCGAAGGCAGCCUUCUGGGCUAGCACUGACGCUCAUGCACGAAAGCGUGGGGAGCAAACAGG